UAUCAAAUUAACCUAACAACAUAAAUAAUAUAGCAUAAGCCUAAAUUAAUAAACUAAACCAUUUUUCCACCUUAGUACGGGAGACAGAAAAGGUAACCUCAAGCAAUAGAAAAAGUACCGCAAGGGAAAGCUGAAAGAGUAAUGAAACAGUCCAUACAAGCACAAAAAAGCAGAGCCUAAACCUCGUACCUUUUGCAUCAUGAUUUAGCCAGUACUACACAAGCAAAGCGACCUUUAGUUUGAUACCCCGAAACCAAGUGAGCUACCCCGGGACAGCCUAAUGGGCCAACCCGUCUCUGUGGCAAAAGAGUGGGAUGAGCCCCGGGUAGAGGUGACAGACCUACCGAACUUGGUGAUAGCUGGUUGCCUAAGAAAUGAAUAGAAGUUCAGCCUCGUACCCCUUUAAUCAACCAAGAAAUAUCUAAACAAGCAAAAAGAGAAGCACGAGAGUUAGUUAAAGGGGGUACAGCCCCUUUAACCAAGGACACAACCUUAAAAAGAAGGAUAAGGGUCAUAUUUUUUAAAACUAGUCGCCUCAGUGGGCCUAAAAGCAGCCAUCUGGACAGAAAGCGUUAAAGCUCAAGCGACACAAAAUUUAUUAUACUGAUAAAUAACCCUACUCCCCUAAACAAUAUUAGGCCAUUCCAUGCCAACAUGGAAGAGACCAUGCUAAUAUGAGUAACAAGAGGACAUAAUCCUCUCCCAGCACAAGUGUAAACCAGAUCGGACUAACCACUGGAAAUUAACGAACCCAAAAAAAGAGGGCAGUGUUAACACAAACAAAAUCAAGAAAACCCCACAACACCAAAAUCGUUAACCCCACACUGGAGUGCACCAAGGAAAGACUAAAAGAAAGGGAAGGAACUCGGCAAACAUAAGCCUCGCCUGUUUACCAAAAACAUCGCCUCCUGCAAACCCCUAUGUAUAGGAGGUCCAGCCUGCCCAGUGACUACAAGUUCAACGGCCGCGGUAUUUUGACCGUGCAAAGGUAGCGCAAUCACUUGUCUUUUAAAUGAAGACCUGUAUGAAUGGCCAAACGAGGGCUUAACUGUCUCCCCUUUCAAGUCAGUGAAAUUGAUUUACCCGUGCAGAAGCGGGUAUAAAAAUACAAGACGAGAAGACCCUUUGGAGCUUAAGGUACAAACCCAACUACGUCAAACAACUUAUUAAAAAGUGUUAAACCUAGUAGAAAAUGGAAUUUUACCUUCGGUUGGGGCGACCAUGGAGAACAAAAGAUCCUCCAAGUGGAUUGGGACUAAACCCUAAAACUAAGAAAGACACUUCCAAGUCACAGAAAUUCUGACCAAUUAUGAUCCGGCCCCCCGGCCGAUCAACGAACCAAGUUACCCUAGGGAUAACAGCGCAAUCCUCUCCAAGAGUCCAUAUCGACGAGAGGGUUUACGACCUCGAUGUUGGAUCAGGACAUCCUAAUGGUGCAGCCGCUAUUAAGGGUUCGUUUGUUCAACGAUUAAAGUCCUACGUGAUCUGAGUUCAGACCGGAGCAAUCCAGGUCAGUUUCUAUCUGUAAAGUCAUUUUUCCUAGUACGAAAGGACCGGAAAAAAAAGGCCCAUGCUAAAAGCACGCCUUACCCCUAAUUAAUGAAAACAACUAAAUUAAAUAAAGGGAGGACCCAAAAGAUC
rnacentral:rRNA from 1 species